rnacentral:rRNA from 1 species
GCCAGCGGCCAUCUCACCCUGCAACUCACAACUGGCAGCCCCUCCACUGGAGCUCAGCAGGUGUGAGCCUGGUCAGUACCUGGAGGGGAGACCUCCUGGGAAAAACUAAGGCUGCUGCUGGAA